CCUACGGGAGGCAGCAGUAGGGAAUUUUGCGCAAUGGACGAAAGUCUGACGCAGCAACACCGUGUGAGGGAUGAAGCAUUUCGGUGUGUAAACCUCUGUCGAUGAUGAAUAAAGCGUGUGGGAGUGGAAAGCCCAUGCGUUGAAGGUAAUCAUGAAGGAAGCACCGGCUAACUCUGUGCCAGCAGCCGCGGUAAUACAGGGGGUGCAAGCGUUGUUCGGAAUCACUGGGCGUAAAGGGAGCGUAGGCGGAACUACAAGACAGGGGUUAAAGAUCCGGGCUCAACCUGGAGGAUGCCUUUGUGACUGUGGUUCUUGAGUAUGGUAGAGGUCGGCGGAAUUUCCGGUGUAGCGGUGGAAUGCGUAGAGAUCGGAAAGAACACCAGAGGCGAAGGCGGCCGACUGGACCAAUACUGACGCUGAGGCUCGAAAGCGUGGGGAGCAAACAGGAUUAGAUACCCUGGUAGUCCACGCUGUAAACGAUGAACACUAGAUGUCGGGAGAGGUUUCUUCCGGUGUCGUCGCUAACGCAGUAAGUGUUCCGCCUGGGGAGUACGCUCGAACAAGGGUGAAACUCAAAUGAAUUGACGG
rnacentral:rRNA from 1 species